CUGUUCCCGCCCAUUUCCUCGCAGCGUUGUGCCGGCGAUUUUUCGAGCGACUGCAAAAGCAGACUCCAUUUCUCUCCUGAGUCUCUGCCGGAGAUCGUCAAGAAACCAGGCUCCAUUCUUUCUCCUCUUCUCUCUCUUGGCCGAUGAGUAUAUGAGGCCACUCGAUUUCGUAAUCCGAAACCCUAGCAACACUGCCGGAGCUGACAAUGAACCAGUACCACAUCUACGAAGCCAUUGGCCGUGGAAAGUACUCGACUGUGUAUAAAGGCAGGAAGAAGAAGAGCAUCGAGUACUCCGCGAUUAAAAGCGUGGAUAAGUCGCAGAAGAACAAGAUUCUCCAAGAAGUACGAAUACUUCACUCACUUGAUCACCUCAACGUACUUAAGUUUUACUCCUGGUACGAAACUUCUGCUCACUUAUGGCUGGUAUUAGAGUACUGUGUUGGAGGGGAUCUCAUGAGCAUCCUGCGCCAGGAUGGCAAACUACCUGAAGAUUCAAUUCAUGAUAUUGCUGGUGAUCUCGUCAGAGCAUUGCAGUACUUACACUCGAAAGGAAUCAUAUACUGUGAUUUGAAGCCAUCAAAUAUUCUACUGGAUGAAAAUGGACAUACAAAGUUAUGUGAUUUCGAACUAGCUAGAAAGUUGAAUGAGAUAUCAAAAACAAAUUCUUCGGUGCCACAAACAAAACGAGGCACACCCUGUUAUAUGGCUCCUGAAUUGUUCAAGGACGACGGUGUCCAUUCCUAUGCGUCUGAUUUGUGGGCGCUUGGUUGUGUCCUAUAUGAAUGCUUUGUGGGGAGGCCUCCUUUCAUGGGACGCGAAUUCACUCAACUAGUAAAAUCUAUCCUCUCAGAUCCUACCCCUAUCCUCCCUGGUAGUCCUAGUCGCCCUUUUGUUAAUCUGAUUAAUUCAUUGCUAGUAAAAGAUCCAGCUGAAAGAAUACAAUGGCCCGAGCUUUGUGGACAUGCGUUCUGGCGAACAAAAAUCACUCCAGUAUUUUUACCUCCACAACCAGCUUUUGCAAAUAUGAUAGAUCAGUAUUAUAAACCUUGUUUGUCGGAGAGAAAUGGCGAAAAACUUGUUCAGAAUAGGACCCCUCCUAAGUAUCGAGAAAAAGAUGUGAAGGGCACUUUGAGACAAAAUGAAAAUUCUGCUUUUGGUUCAAGUAAAAAUGAAACACUUGUUAAAGGUACUCCAGGCAGUCAAAAAACUCAAUCAAAGGUUUCUAGCAGAGUCGUUGAGGAGAAGAAGUUGAAAGAAAUUUCCUCUGCUUCCAAAGGAGUAAAUCUUUUGAGACUCUCAAGGAUAGCAAAAUUAAACUUGCAAAGAGAGAAUGAUAAAGAAAAUUACAGGAGACCCAUUCCUAGCAGCUCCGAAAAUGAUUCCGAGGUUGAAAUUAAGAACACUGAUAUGGAGCUUGAUUUUAAUGAGAAUGCUGAAGAUGAGUCGCAUGAAGAACCUGACGAGUCUGAUAAUUUAAAUUGUAAUCAGGAAGAUAGGUCAUCAAAUCAAAAUCCCCAUGGGAAGAUGGAAGAUGCACAAAAUAUGGGAGGAGACCUUCCAAAGUAUUCAUCGCCAGUUAAUAUCAAUGCUUCAGAUUUAUCAAACAAGCAUGAUCAGGAAUCACCAUUGGUACAUACAGGUGCGGUCGCUAUGUCACCUAUUGCUAGUCCUCAACUUAAGAAUCAAAGAACUAAAGAAGGAUCAGGGAAUGCUCUCGAGCCUGAUUCUUUGAAGUCAUCCAAUAACCUUGCAGAGUUUUUUUGGCAUCCAUCUGAUCUUUCUGUUAAACCAGUAAUGCCGAGCAGAAAAGCUGAUAAAAUAUCAGAUGUUAAUACUACCCUUCCUUUCGACGGAUUGAAAGCAUCUGAUUUUGUGAAGAUGCCUAAAGAGCAGCAGGAUGCAUUGUGCAGUAGGAUUAUUGCUACUCUUAGUGGAAAUACAAGUAUUGGUGAGAAGCAAAACAUGAUAAGAUACCUUGAGAUGCUUAGUAAUAAUGCUGAUGCAGCUAAUAUUUUGACCAAUGGGCCGGUAAUGCUCAUGCUUGUAAAAAUGCUCAAGCAGUCCAAGGUUUUGCAAUUGCGUGUUCAACUCACGUCACUAAUUGGCUUGCUGAUCCGCCACUCUACUUUUAUAGAAAAUGACUUGGCAAAUUCUGGUCUUUUAGUUUCACUUACCGAUGGACUCAGAGACAAGCAAGAAAAAGUCAGGAGGUUUUCUAUGGCUGCUUUGGGUGAGUUGCUGUUUUAUAUCUCCACUCAGGAAGAGCAUAACAGCAACGUCAAUCCUCCUGAAUCUCCUUUGAAGGACGCUAGAUCAUCCCCAUCUGGAUGGCAGGUUUCAAAUUCACUAAUUUCAUUAGUCUCAUCAAUCCUUCGAAAAGGAGAGGAUGAUAUGACUCAACUCUAUGCAUUGAGGACUAUUGAAAACAUUAGUAGUCAAGGAGCAAGCUGGGCAUCUCGCUUUACCAGCCAAGAUGUGAUCAGCAACCUAUGCUACAUAUAUAGAGCUUCUGGGAAAUCGGAGAAUGUAAGGCUCACAGCAGGAUCAUGUUUGGUUCGCCUGGUACGUUUCAAUCCCUCUAGCAUUCAGUCGGUCACAGACAAAUUAUCUUCCAAGGACAUGGCGUGUGCCCUUGUUAAGGGAAAUCCACGCGAGCAGCAAAUUACCUUAAAUCUUCUAAACAUGAUCAUGUUUGGAGGCCAUACCUUAACUAGCAUUGGAAGGUACCUUCUACCUUUAAUGGAGGAGAAGAAUCUCGUCUCUAGUCUGGCAUCCCUUAUUGAGCAAGGAAGUGAAAUUAUGAAGGGAAAGGCAAUUGUUUUCGUUGCUUUCCUCUGUAAGAAUGUAAGACGGUGGUUGCCUCAUUUCUUCUGCAAUUCCAGGUUACUUUCAUCAGUGGACAGGCUGGCGAAAGAGAAGGACGUCUAUGUCCAGCAGUGUUUAACUGGAUCUGUGCAUAUCGUGGCAUCUAUUGUGCCAAGUUUAUUGGAUAUGAUUUUAGGAGAUAUUCAACAAAUGAUGGGAGGAAGACGUCAUGGGCAUAUCUCCCCCCUUACUAGUCGUGCCGCUUCAAAGACCAACAUUCACUUGUUUCCUGUUGUCCUUCAUCUUCUUGGAAGUUUAACUUUUAAGCGCAAGAUUGUUAGUCCUCAGGUACUGCAGCAGUUGUCUGAUCUAAUCAGGCAUAUAGAGACCCCAUUUCAGGGCAGGGACGACUUCCAGAUAACGUUGCUUCGAGUUAUUGAAUCUAUCACAGAGGAAUUCUCGGUCAUUCUUGAAAACCCAGAGAUUUUUGUCCAUAAAAUUCUCCCCAGUUUGGCUGUUCUUUACAGAGGUAAUAAGGAUGGGGAUGCAAGAUUCUUAUGCCUAAAAAUUCUCUUUGAUGUGAUGUUCACUUUCCUGAAUGAACCAUCCAUAGAGGGGCAAAGGUCGCAGGAUCUAAAGCAUAUAGCAAAUUUGCACUUCCUCCCUCUCUAUCCUGCCUUGAUAGAAGAUGAUGAUCCCAUACCCAUGUAUGCCCAGAAACUUCUUGUGAUGCUCAUUGAGUGUAACUACAUCAAAAUUUCAGACAUUUUACAUCUAAAGACAAUCUCCCAGUGCUUCGAGUUUUUGCUUGGCGACCUUUCAAAUGCAAAUGUAAGUAGUGUUAAGCUGUGUUUGGCGCUGGCAUCUGCUCCUGAAAUGGAGUCAAGAAUACUUUCUCAACUCAAAGUUGUUAGAAGAAUAGGAAUUCUGUUAGAGUUUGUAUAUGCAAAGGAUAUGGAGGAUUUUCUCAAACCAACUCUUGGCCUAUGUAGAGCUCUCCUUCUCCGUUCUGUUAGUUGUAGAAAGGGCUUCAUCUACUCAAAAGAACCGGUUCUUCUGGGAGAUGGUACUCCCGAGCCAAAUGUUCUAGUUAACCAACAGGAAUGCAUAAGAGAUAUAUCUGACUUUGGUAACAAUGUUGGCGUCUUGUUGGAGUUGAGUGGGUCCUCAGAAGCAAAUAUCGCGGACAUAGCUUCUGAAUGUGUAGUGUUUUUGGUUAUGGCGGCUCCAAGGGAAGCUACCACUGGUCUUCUUACACACCUUCCCAAGAUUAGUGUAAUCCUGGAGUCCUGGAGGAGAAGAGGUGGCUGCCUCUUGCUUGUGCAAAGAAUGCUGCAUGCUCUCGGUUAUGCUUGUAGACAGUACUUGGCCCAUGCAAUGAUAUUAUCGCUAUCCCUAUCUGAAAUUUCACGGAUUGAGGCUAUUAUUUCUGAGAUCAAGAGUUCAGGCACGCCAAGUUUAACUAAUGAUGCAGUGCUUGCGGCUAUGGAGUUGCAGCGGCUUCACCGUUGUAUUUGAAAUGAAACAAGGAAAUUUGUACUUUGUAAAAUUGGCCGGGUAGCUAAGACAGAAGUAAGAUCUUUUCGUUCUAAUUUUAUAGUGAUAGUGUCGUACAGAUGAAAGAGUUAUCGGGAAAUCAGUGGAAAGAGGAGGAUUUGAACUCCCACGAGAAGAUGGCAUUGAAGAUACCCAUCUGGUAUCUGUAGUUCCCAACAUGAUUCUUGGGUCAGACGGUUGUCUCAUGAGAUUAGUCGAGGUGCGCGUAAGCUGACUCAGACACUCACAGGUAUAAAAAAAAAAUCAUAAGGAGCAGCCCUCCACAUGAUUAGAGAGAGACAUGUUUGCGUGGACUUGGAGGUAGUUUUUUUAUGAGAGUGAUAUGAGUUUUUGAUUUUUAUUUUUUUAGUUUAACCACAUGUGGAGGCGGGGAUUUAAAUCUUUUUUAUCCAAGAUAUAUGACUUAAUCCAUGAGAUAAACUAGAGAUCUCAAGAAUGCUAGAAAAUUGAUGGCUACUUUUGAAGCUAUCUAUAAUAUCAUUUUAAUUAAAGAUAUGAGCUAGGUAUCUCAAGAAUAAUAGCUAAUGGAU